rnacentral:rRNA from 1 species
AGGUUACUGCUAUCGGUGUUCGCCUAAGCCAUGCGAGUCAUAUGUUCUUCGUGAACAUGGCGUACUGCUCAGUAACACGUGGAUAACCUGCCCUUGGGUCCGGCAUAACCCCGGGAAACUGGGGAUAAUUCCGGAUAACGCACAUAUGCUGGAAUGCUUUAUGCGUCAAAUGGAUUCGUCCGCCCAAGGAUGGGUCUGCGGCCUAUCAGGUAGUAGUGGGUGUAAUGUACCUACUAGCCUACGACGGGUACGGGUUGUCAGAGCAAGAGCCCGGAGAUGGAUUCUGAGACAUGAAUCCAGGCCCUACGGGGCGCAGCAGGCGCGAAAACUUUACAAUGCGGGAAACCGUGAUAAGGGGACACCGAGUGCCAGCAUCAUAUGCUGGCUGUCCGGGUGUGUAAAAUACACCUGUUAGCAAGGGCCGGGCAAGACCGGUGCCAGCCGCCGCGGUAACACCGGCGGCCCGAGUGGUGAUCGUGAUUAUUGGGUCUAAAGGGUCCGUAGCCGGUUUGGUCAGUCCUCCGGGAAAUCUGACGGCUUAACCGUUAGGCUUUCGGGGGAUACUGCCAGACUUGGAACCGGGAGAGGUAAGAGGUACUACAGGGGUAGGAGUGAAAUCUUGUAAUCCCUGUGGGACCACCUGUGGCGAAGGCGUCUUACCAGAACGUUUCGACGGUGAGGGACGAAAGCUGGGGGCACGAACCGGAUUAGAUACCCGGGUAGUCCCAGCCGUAAACGAUGCUCGCUAGGUGUCAGGCAUGGCGCGACCGUGUCUGGUGCCGCAGGGAAGCCGUGAAGCGAGCCACCUGGGAAGUACGGCCGCAAGGCUGAAACUUAA